AGGCCGUCGUCAGCAACCAGUCAGAGCUAAGCCGGAAGGAGGCGAAGAAAUGCGGAAGUACACAUCGAGCCCGGAAACGAUUGACCGCUUCCGGCGUCGCGACAACCAAUUGGAAAAGAGCGAGGGCGAGACGAGGGAGGAGCCCGCCUUUUUAAGCGGCCGCGGCGGGUGCGAGGGUGUGGUGGGGCUUCGGCUGCGGCGCUUUGGGUCUGCGGGGCGGGCGGUGUGUGAUUUGUGAUCUCGGCCUUCUAGUUUGUGGGUGCGUUUCCUCAAGUAUCCUUCUCCAGAGGAAUACCAAAUCUGAUCUCGCCCCCCAAUGCUUUGAGGUCUUCAGAUUGGAAAUGCCAAGCACGCUUUGAGGCAGGACUGGAACAGCAUUGGUGAACAACAGGAAAAGUCAAAGGAGAUGUGCACAGCUCUUGCUAAAUGCAAAACUGGGAAUGUCAUGCCCCUCAGGCAGGAACCACUUUUUCAUGGAACAGGAGGUUAUCUGCUUGCUAGAGGCUCCAGGGAAAGAAACCCGAGUCAGAGGCUGUCUUCCUCACAGCUCUGGAAAAGAAUGGCUGGAGAUUUCUGGAAUGUGAAGGGCCAAGCAGCCUUGCUCCUUAGCUGUUCACUGCAGCAGUAUGAGCUUCCUCCUGUACCUUCCAAGAACUCAUCAUUAGGCCAAAAGAGAAGGCUUGCUCCAGUCGGUCAGGUAUUUAUUCACACGCAUUCAAAAGCUAUUUUUAAAACACCAUAGAUAUCAGCCAGGCCCGUGAGAGUGUGGGUGUGUGCAGGCAUACGCUGUUUAUACUACAGCAUGCUCUGUCUACUAUACUGCAGCUUCUCCACAACCUGCUCAGUGACGUGAGUAAUUUAUCACAUGUUGUUUAUGCCAUCUGCUCUCAGAGGAAGGCACUGCGCUGUGUUUUGGAGAGGUGUUUAAUGCGUAGCUGUGCUAUCAGAGGCAGUC